CCUACGGGCGGCAGCAGUGAGGAAUAUUGGUCAAUGGGAGAGAUCCUGAACCAGCCAAGCCGCGUGAGGGAAGACGGCCCUAUGGGUUGUACACCUCUUUUGUCGGAGAACAAACCCCGGGACGUGUCCCGGACUGCGUGUAUCCGAAGCAAAAGCAUCGGCUAACUCCGUGCCAGCAGCCGCGGUAAUACGGAGGAUGCGAGCGUUAUCCGGAUUUAUUGGGUUUAAAGGGAGGGUAGAUGGGUUGUUAAGUCAGUUGUGAAAGUUUGCGGCUCAACCGUAAAAUUGCAAUUGAGACUGGCAGCCUUGAGUACAGUUGAGGUAGGCGGAAUUCGUGGUGUAGCGGUGAAAUGCUUAGAUAUCACGAAGAACUCCGAUUGCGAAGGCAGAUUACUAAACUGCCACUGACAUUGAUGCUCGAAAGUGUGGGUAUCAAACAGGAUUAGAGACCCUUGUAGUC
rnacentral:rRNA from 1 species